rnacentral:rRNA from 1 species
UCGAGGGACCACCUGUGGCGAAGGCGCCUCACCAGAACGGCUUCGACAGUGAGGGACGAAAGCUGGGGGAGCAAACCGGAUUUAGAUACCCGGGUAGUCCCAGCCGUAAACUAUGCGCGUUAGGUGUAUCGGUGACCACGAGUUACCGAGGUGCCGAAGGGAAACCGUGAAACGUGCCGCCUGGGAAGUACGGUCGCAAGGCUGAAACUUAAAGGAAUUGGCGGGGGAGCACCACAACAGGUGGAGCCUGCGGUUUAAUUGGACUCAACGCCGGGAAGCUCACCGGAUAAGACAGCUGAAUGAUUGCCGGGCUGAAGACUCUGCAUGACUAGCUGAGAGGAGGUGCAUGGCCGUCGUCAGUUCGUACUGUGAAGCAUCCUGUUAAGUCAGGCAACGAGCAAGACCCACGCCAACAGUUGCCAGCAUGGUCCCCGGACUGAUGGGGACACUGUUGGGACCGCCUCUGCUAAAGAGGAGGAAGGAAUGGGCAACGGUAGGUCAGCAUGCCCCGAAUUAUCCGGGCUACACGCGGGCUACAAUGGGCAGGACAAUGGGUAUCGACACCGAGAGGUGAAGGCAAUCUCCUAAACCUGUCCUUAGUUCGGAUUGUGGGCUGCAACUCGCCCACAUGAAGCUGGAAUCCGUAGUAAUCGCGCUUCAAAAUAGCGCGGUGAAUAUGUCCCUGCUCCUUGCACACACCGCCCGUCACGCCACCCAAAAAGGGUUUGGAUGAGGCCUUAGUCUUUGGCUAAGCUCGAAUCUAGGUUCUUUGAGGAGGGCGAAGUCGUAACAAGGUAGCCG